rnacentral:rRNA from 1 species
CAGUCGCCGCGGUAAUACGGAGGGGGCUAGCGUUGCUCGGAAUUACUUGGCGUAAAUGGCGCGUAGGCGGACAGUUCAGUCGGGGGUGAAAGCCCGGGGCUCAACCUCGGAAUUGCCUUCGAUACUGGCUGUCUUGAGUAUGAGAGAGGUGUGUGGAACUCCGAGUGUAGAGGUGAAAUUCGUAGAUAUUCGGAAGAACACCAGUGGCGAAGGCGACACACUGGCUCAUUACUGACGCUGAGGCGCGAAAGCGUGGGGAGCAAACAGGAUUAGAUACCCCAGUAGUCCCUGUCUCUUAUAC